GAUGAACGCUGGCGGCGUGCUUAACACAUGCAAGUCGAACGGGAAUUAUUUUAUUGAAACUUCGGUUGAUAUGAUUUAAUUCUAGUGGCGGACGGGUGAGUAACGCGUGGGUAACCUGCCUUAUACAGGGGGAUAACAGUCAGAAAUGACUGCUAAUACCGCAUAAGCGCACAGAGCUGCAUGGCUCGGUGUGAAAAACUCCGGUGGUAUAAGAUGGACCCGCGUUGGAUUAGCUAGUUGGUGAGGUAACGGCCCACCAAGGCGACGAUCCAUAGCCGGCCUGAGAGGGUGAACGGCCACAUUGGGACUGAGACACGGCCCAGACUCCUACGGGAGGCAGCAGUGGGGAAUAUUGCACAAUGGGGGAAACCCUGAUGCAGCGACGCCGCGUGAAGGAAGAAGUAUCUCGGUAUGUAAACUUCUAUCAGCAGGGAAGAAAAUGACGGUACCUGACUAAGAAGCCCCGGCUAACUACGUGCCAGCAGCCGCGGUAAUACGUAGGGGGCAAGCGUUAUCCGGAUUUACUGGGUGUAAAGGGAGCGUAGACGGAUGGACAAGUCUGAUGUGAAAGGCUGGGGCUCAACCCCGGGACUGCAUUGGAAACUGCCCGUCUUGAGUGCCGGAGAGGUAAGCGGAAUUCCUAGUGUAGCGGUGAAAUGCGUAGAUAUUAGGAGGAACACCAGUGGCGAAGGCGGCUUACUGGACGGUAACUGACGUUGAGGCUCGAAAGCGUG
rnacentral:rRNA from 1 species